GUUGGUUUUGACUCUUUAGAGCCUGGAAAUUUCCCUUGGAUGAUGUAUCACAAUGUAAUUAUAAGCAUCUAAGGUCAAAAAAUCAUCCAAACUUGGAGCUGUGCAUUGCCUUGUGAACAUCUUGCAAGCUUCUUUGUACAUUCCCUUCUUGAAUUUCUCUUUCCCAACUUCCUUUUCAAUCCUUUCCAUUUCUUCUUCCACCACUCUCCCAAACAAUUCCUUGUUAACUCUAACACCAAGCCCAUCCCCAUCCAAUUCCACUCCAUACUUCAACCAUUGCCAGUUUUGAACCCUGCUGAUUUCUGCUGUGGCUGCAUCUUCCAUAAGGUUGUAUAGAGGCACCGAGCCAACUCCCGUUAACCAUGCAGCUAGGUACUGAAUUCCGACUCGGGUGUUCAAACGAAGCCCUUCCAUUGUACGAACACCCCUCGGUCGCUGUAAAAGGUCUUCUUCGGUUAGGUUUUCAGCAUCAUCUCGUCUCACGGAUCGAAUUUGGUUGGGGGCAUUCCCCAUGUUGUUGGUGAAGACUUCCAUACAAGCUGGGAUUAAACCUGGAUGUGCUGCCCAUGUUCCAUCAUGUCCUGCUUUUACUUCCCUCAAUUUGUCCUUCCUCACUAACUCAAGUGCUACCUCAUUUGCCUUCGGAUCGUCUCUAAUUGGAAUUUGAGCAGCCAUGCCUCCCAUGGCGUGGACACCACGCCUAUGACAAGUUCUGAUAAGGAGAUCAGAAUAGCUCCUCAUGAAAUGUUGGGUCAUACCAACUUGGACCCGAUCGGGUAAUAGACGAUCAGGGUGAGCCUGGAAGGUUUUGACAUAGCUGAAUAUGUAAUCCCAUCUACCACAGUUCAAUCCUACAGAGUGAUCUCUUAGCUCAUAGAGUAUUUCAUUCAUUUGAAACACUGCUGGAAGUGUUUCAAUUAGGACAGUGGCCCUGAUGCUGCCCUUCUCUAUCCCUGCCAUCUUCUCUGCCCUCUCAAAUACACUGUUCCAUAUUUUAGCUUCUCUGGAGUGCUCCAUUUUGGGAAGGUAAAAGAAAGGGCCAUAACCUUGACCUUGAGAGCGCCGAAAAUUGGAAUGGUUGUGGAAAAAGUAGAGCCCAAAGUCCACAAGACAGCCGGUGGCAGGCUCGCCAUCGAUGAAUAUAUGAGCCUCAGGCAAGUGCCAACCUCGAGGGCGGACGAAGAGCUUGGCUAUCUGAUCAUUAAGCUUAUAAACUCUGUUUCUAGCUCUGUCAUGGAAGCUUAUAGUCCCAUCUACUGCAUCCUUAAGAUUAAUUUGCCCUCUCAUCAAAUUCUCCCAAUUUGGUGACAGUGCAUCUUCAAAAUCCGCCAUGAAAACUUUAGCUCCAGAAUUAAGUGCGUUGAUGAUCAUCUUCCGCUCCACAGGUCCGGUGAUCUCCACUCUCCGAUCAGCAACCACCGGUGGGACAGGGGCACAUGUCCACUCAGAAUCCCUUAUAUACUUGGUGGCUGGAUCGAACCCCGGCAACGCUCCUUCAUUAUACCUCCUCUUAGCUUCUCUGCGGCAUUCCAUCGAAUACUUAAUGUGGUUUCUGAAAGUCCUCUGCAAAUCAGCCACAAACAGCAAGGCUUCCUUGUUGAGAAUCUUGGCAAAUUCUUCAUCAUAGCGUCCUCGAAUGUCCACUCCCUCUGGAACGUCAUAGCCUCUGCUUCCCUUCUUCGUUACUCCUGAUUCUGAAUAAAUUCCGAGCGAUCCCAUCUUCUUUCUUCUUCCUCAAGUGAAA
rnacentral:misc_RNA from 1 species